rnacentral:tRNA from 1 species
ACUUGUCUAGUAUAAAAAUUACUCUAGAUUUCCACUCUAAAAAUCCGCUGGUUAGUGGGGCAAGUA